UUUUUUUUUUUUUUUUUUUUUUUUUUGCUUUUUAGGGCCACAGGUGCAGCGUAUGGAAGUUCCCAGGCCAGGGGUUGGAUCGGAGCUACAAUUGCCAGCUUAUGCCACAGCCAUAACAAUGUCAGAUCCAAGCCUUGUCUGAGACCUACACCAUAGCUCAUGGCAAUGCUAGAUCCUUAACCCAUUGAGUGAGGCCAGGGAUUGAACCUGCAUCCUCAUGGAUCCUAGUUGGGUUCGUUACCACUGAGCCCAGACGGGAACUCCCAAAUGUGUUUAUUUCACUUGUCAACUCUGGUCAACAAGUAGAGGCUGCCUGAAUCAUAGUGUUUAAAGGAUUUCUGAGGCUUUAUCUUGGUGCACGGAGAGUUUGUUCCAUCAAGUGAAAGGCUGUGACUGAUGAGUGAUGUCUGCCUGAAAAAAAGAAUUAUCUACAAGAUAACCAUGAAUUUCCUAUCCUUAGCUCAGAUUAAGUGAGACAUCUUUAGGUAGAUAAUUCUCCUGAGAGGAAGAGAAUUUGAUUGCCUCAAUCUGAAACUGUGGCUAUAUAAUCUAUUCACAGAAUUAAUAAACAAGAAUUUUUAAAAGGGAUUGUCAGCUUACAAAGAAAUUCUACCCUAAAGAUAAAGGGGGAAAAUUUUCCCCCAUUUACUCUCUCCAUUGUAUAGAUUAAGAAAAUGCCUUGAGAAGAUCUAAAAGGAAAAAAAAAUGCUCAUCAUUCCUAUAGAGUAACUAGGGAGAAAGAUAAAGUUUUAUAAAUAAGCUACUGUAACCAAGAAUAUAUGCUGUGGAAGUGUGUUCAAGAGUCUAUGUAAGUCCACUAUAUGAAAUGAAAACAAAGAGUUGAGUAAUAAACCAUAAAGGAGUACUUCUUUAACAAGAAGAGUAAAAUAACAUCAGUAAAAUGUUAUUAAAAUAUACAUCAAUUUUAAUUUUGCCUCAGAGAAGGCAAAAUCUCUGGUCUCAUAUUGCCUAGUUGGGUAAAAAAACACUCUUCAUCAGGAAUUAUCAAAUCGUUUGUUUAAAUACUAUUUCUCUACAUUCAACUUCCCAUAUUCCUGCAUAAGAAUAAUGUUUCCUAAGAAUGGAAUUCAGUGAUAUAUGCUCCUAAGAGAGCCAGGGAGUCCCUGGAGCUCAUUAAUCCUGCAACCUUCUGUGAGAUGCUGGCCUGACAUGGUCGGAGUUCACUUUAAAUGGGACUGAAUUUCAAAGCAAAGGGCUCUGAGGUGGCAAACAGCUCAUUAAUUCAAGAGUGCAAUUCAGUGACAGAAGAAUUGUUUUAAAUGCACAAUCUUAAACUAUUUAAAUUCACAUUAUAAUUAUACCCCAAAACUAUGCACUUCAAAUUUGAAAUCUGGAUAUGUAAUCUACCGAUAACACUAAUGAACAAAAUUUUUUUUAAAAAGAGGGGACUGUCAUCUUACCAAGAAAUGCUAAUCAACCUGCUUUUUGAAGUGUGCUUCAUUUGCAUCACAAGCAUUAUUAUGAAAAUUCAACAUUAUGCUUCUGUGUAUUGCAUUGUACUGCUCUGCUGAACAUCAAAAAAAGUAGGCAACACUUCCUCAAAGUGAAUAAAAAUGGAAUAUAAAAUCAUGAUCAAAGAUAACUUCAAUUCCUUGUUAAUUUUACCUUAAUUCCACUCCUGGGAUAAGAAGUCCUCUUCAUAACUUUUCUUUCCUGUAACAAAUUCUCCAGCAAGCUUAUGGUCCCUAAAUAUAUUCCCAAAUGUAACGCAUGCAUAAAUAAACAAGAAUAAAAUCUGCAUAGCCUCUACCAUAAAUAUGGCAACACAUUCAUAAACUCAUUAGAGUUCACUGUGAGAAAAACUCAUUACAGUCCCAUUAGAACAUGGGAAUUAACUUUUUUAAAUUAAUGUUACAGAAGUAGUUUUACUCUUUUGGAAAAAGUAACCAAUAACAGAUGAUUCUCUAGUGCUCUCUUUUAUAUUUUUUUAUUUUGUCUUAAAAAAAAGUUACUUCUUUCAGUAAUGUUCAUGGUGAAAUAUUAUAAAUAGACAUUGUCUAAUGCAUCUGUGGUUAACACCAGUUUAUUUUCUAAAAAUUGAAAGUACUAUUUUCCUUAAAAAAUUGAGGUAAGAAAAUUAAGCAUGGAAAGUUCUAAUUAUUUUUGUUAAUUAUUUUAGCUGAAGAAUGUGCCAAAAGGUAAUGAACCCAAAAACUACUUGAACUGGUCAACAAAUUUAGCAAAGUAGCAGGAUAUAAGAUUAACAUUCAGAAAUCAGGUGCAUUUCUGUAUACUAACAAUAAAACUUUAGAAAAGGAAUACAAAAACAUAGUAACUUUUAAAAUUGAACCCCCAAAAUCAAAUACCUUGGAAUACACCUGACCAAGGAGGUAAAGGACUUAUAUGCUGAAAAUUAUAAAAUAUUAAUCACACAAAUUAAAGAAUAUGUAAAGAAAUGGAAAGAUAUUCCAUGCUCCAGGGUUAGAAAAAUUAAUAUUGUAAAAACAUACUACCCAAAAGCAAUCUACAGAUUCAAAGCAAUUCCUAUCAAACUACCCAUGACAUUUUUCACAGAACUAGGACAAACAAUCCAAAAAUUUAUAUAGAACCACAAAAGACCCAGAAUUGCCAAAGCAAUCCUGAGAAACAAAAAUCAAGCAGGAGGCAUACAUAACUCUCCCAGACUUCAAGCAAUAUUACAAAACCACAGUCAUCCAGACAGUGUGGUACUGAUACCAAAACAGACAGACAGACCAAUGGAACAGAAUAGAGAACCCAGAAAUAAACCCAGACACCUGCAGUCAAUUAAUCUUUGACAAAGGAGGCAAGAAUAUAAAAUGGGAAAAAGACAGUCUUUUCAGCAAAUAUUGCUGGGAAACCUGUACAGCUGCAUGUAAAUCAAUGAAACUAGAACACACCCUCACACACUGCACAAAAUUCAACUCAAAAUGUCUCAAAGACUUAAAUGUAAGACAAGAUACCAUCAAACUCCCAGAAGAGAACAUAACAUUCUCUGAUAUCGAUUUUACAAAUUUUUUCUCAGGUCAGUCUCCCAAAAAAACAGAAAUAAAAGCAAAAAUAAUCCAAUGGGACCUAAGCAAACUGACAAACUUUUGCACAGCAAA
ensembl:lncRNA